rnacentral:rRNA from 1 species
UACGGAGGGAGCUAGCGUUGUUCGGAAUUACUGGGCGUAAAGCGCACGUAGGCGGCUUUGUAAGUUAGAGGUGAAAGCCUGGAGCUCAACUCCAGAAUUGCCUUUAAGACUGCAUCGCUUGAAUCCAGGAGAGGUGAGCGGAAUUCCGAGUGUAGAGGUGAAAUUCGUAGAUAUUCGGAAGAACACCAGUGGCGAAGGCGGCUCACUGGACUGGUAUUGACGCUGAGGUGCGAAAGCGUGGGGAGCAAACAGG